GGAAGUGUGGCUCUGUGAUAGAGCCCUUGUGUGGCACCCAUGAGGCCCAGGGUUCUAUCCCCUGCACUGUACA
rnacentral:tRNA from 1 species